GAAGCUCUUGUGAGUUCAUCAACAUUUGCAUCUCCAUUUAGCCUGGGGUCCAUCAAGCUCCGCACAUCCCCUUCAUGAAGCUUGCUUGCAGCGAAGGUUGGGAAGAAGGUGGAUCCACACUUUUCACCAUGAUCAGAAUUUCUCCUGCCUGAUAUGAGUUCGAAGAGCAUCAUACCGUAGCUAAAGACAUCUGCCUUUGCUGUUAUGGCCACACCACUGAUCCAUUCAGGUGCGAGGUAACCCCUUGUUCCUCUCAUUGUUGUCAAUACACGACUGAAGUCUCUGCCUAAGAGCUUCGCUAGACCAAAAUCAGCAACUUUUGGCACAAAUGACUCAUCCAAGAGUAUGUUUUCUGGCUUGACAUCACAGUGUAUAAUGCAAUCCCUACAUUUUUCAUGCAGGUAAUUUAAACCUCUUGCUGUUCCAAGUGCUAUUUGGUACCUGGAAGCCCAGCUCAGUUCCGUUGUCUCACCAGGGAAUAACUGCAAGUCCAGG
rnacentral:lncRNA from 1 species